UACGAGGGGGGCAAGCGUUGUUCGGAUUUAUUGGGCGUAAAGGGUGCGUAGGCGGUCUGGCAAGUCUUGUGUGAAAUCUUCGGGCUCAACCCGAAGUCUGCACAAGAAACUGCCGGGCUUGAGUAUGGGAGAGGUGAGUGGAAUUUCCGGUGUAGCGGUGAAAUGCGUAGAUAUCGGAAGGAACACCUGUGGCGAAAGCGGCUCACUGGACCAUAACUGACGCUGAGGCACGAAAGCUAGGGGAGCAAACAGG
rnacentral:rRNA from 1 species